GAUGAACGCUAGCGGCAGGCCUAACACAUGCAAGUCGAGGGAGAGGUUACCUUCGGGUAACCAAAACCGGCGCACGGGUGCGUAACGCGUAUACAAUCUGCCUUUCACAUAGGGAUAGCCCGAAGAAAUUUGGAUUAAUACCUAAUGGUAUAUAAGAGCGGCAUCGUUUUUAUAUUAAAGCUACGGUGGUGAAAGAUGAGUAUGCGUUCUAUUAGCUAGUUGGAGAGGUAACGGCUCCCCAAGGCGACGAUAGAUAGGGGUUCUGAGAGGGAUGUCCCCCACACUGGUACUGAGAUACGGACCAGACUCCUACGGGAGGCAGCAGUGAGGAAUAUUGGGCAAUGGUCGGAAGACUGAUCCAGCCAUGCCGCGUGCAGGAUGAAGGUCCUAUGGAUUGUAAACUGCUUUUGUAAGGGAAGAAUAAGGAGUACGUGUACUUUGAUGACGGUACCUUACGAAUAAGCAUCGGCUAACUCCGUG
rnacentral:rRNA from 1 species